rfam:Roseobacter sp. AzwK-3b 1103032000581, whole genome shotgun sequence.
CGCAUAUUUUGCUCAGGCGGAGCUCGACCGCCCGUUCCGCAAAUGAUUGCCUUCAUUGAGGAUCACAGAGAGGUCUACGGGGUCGAGCCGAUCUGCAAGGUACUGCCGAUUGCCCCU